ensembl:lncRNA
AGUUCAGCCAAUCACAUAUACACACUAUGCUGUGCGCGGGUUGUUGUUGUCAUGUGGCCAGGAUGCCAUCUCUGCAAGCUAUCUUUUAGCUGAGUGUUCAGUUAAUAAAGUGUGACGUUUUGCAACAUUGUGUGAUCCUUGACUCACACAAAGGAACAAGUUUCAACAGAUAUGAAUGAGUAGAUAGGACACGCCCCUUUGAGCUGCGUGCUACAGCGAGGCUAAGCUAGUGGGGGGAAAGUUUCAGUGCAUUUCGUUGAUGUACACGGCGUGAAAACGGAAACAACAAGUAUGCCGUCUCACUGUACUGCAUACAAUUACACACUGCGUCGUACGAUUGAGACAAGGAAACUUGGAAUGACUUUUCAUAGGUUUCCCAGAGACUAUGGGUUGAGGAGGAAUUGGAAGUUUGUCGGCUUAGACCUGGUGUCAUUCCAUCAGUGUUAAACUUCCCGGCUCAUCUUGGAAGAGUACGUGCCAGAAAGACCACGACCAAGCAGCCUUGAGAUCUUAGACAGCAUCUCCCUGAGACCAAAGAACUACAGACUCUUCACAACCUGCUCAAACUCUUGGUACAGGACCUCACCACACGGGUCAAGAAGGUUUCCGUCUCAUUUCUACUCUGAAGCUCACCUUCUCCUGCUCAAACUGCUGACAAAUGUUUCUGCUGCUCUAAAGUCUGCUCUCCAGAACUUCCUAAAAACUCUCAAAGUCUCUUCUGCUGCAGGUUGCUUUGUAGAACUGUUCCAGAAAACCUCACUAAACCACAUGGAGGGGCCUCAAGAUAGUCGUCCAAAUGAAACCAUACAAAAACCAAACUAGCACAACCCAAACACUAAAGUCUCCUGCAGCCUACCAGAGAACCUCUGAGAACAGAGAAUCAGGACAGGAACUCUUACCUUCUGGACAACCAGCAUUGGUUCACAAACAAGAAUACAGAAUGUGUCUGA